rnacentral:rRNA from 1 species
AUUGAACGCUGGCGGCAGGCCUAACACAUGCAAGUCGAACGAGUGGCGGACGGGUGAGUAAUGUCUGGGAAACUGCCCGAUGGAGGGGGAUAACUACUGGAAACGGUAGCUAAUACCGCAUACCAUCGGAUGUGCCCAGAUGGGAUGAGCUUGUAGGUGAGGUAACGGCUCACCUAGGCGCCGAUCCCUAGCUCGUCUGAGAGGAUGACCAGCCACACUGGAAGUGAGACACGGUCCGGACGCCUACGGGAGGCAGAAGUGGGGAAUAUUGCACAAUGGGCGCAAGCCUGAUGCAGCCAUGCCGCGUGUAUGAAGAAGUCCGUCGGGUUGGAAAUUACUUUCAGCGGGGAGGCGUUACCCGCAGAAGAAGCACCGGCUAACUCCGUGCCAGCAGCCGCGGUAAUGC